rnacentral:lncRNA from 1 species
GCCCUCACAGCGCCCCGCCCCCUCUGACCCCGACCUUCCUCCCCGCGCCGCAGGCCGAGCGCCGGCUGCACCCGAGCACCCGAGCGAGGCCGGCGGGGAGCGGCCGCGCAGCCGCCAGGAGGGGGCGCCCAGCUGCCCUGAGCCGGGGCCGGGAGGCGCUGGGAGGCGCUGGGAGGCGCUGGGAGGCGGGCUCUGCCCAGAGGCUGUGCGGGCCGGAAGGGCGCCCCCUCCUGCCACAGAGCGACGGACGCUUCUCCGAGUGCCCGCGUAGACGGCCUGAGACCCGCGGGCUGUGGCCUUUCCCGUACAGGCCGGGCGGGCGCCCCCUGACGUGCCGGAAAUCGAAAAAGAUGGUGAAGGGUCGGGCCAAUAAAUUAGCCUCAGGGAUGGAGAUGCAGACAGACGGAUGGGGUUGUAUGGAUACAGAUACACAAGGAAAACCAAAGCUAUUCAGUCUCCUCAUUUGUCCAGCAGCCUCACAGUGGUGCCCUUUCUCUGCUGCUGCUUUCCCUGCUUCGGGAGCAGCAGUUAUGGUAGAAGCAGAUGGCUACUGAUUGGGGGAGCUUUGUGGCUCUAAUACUGAAUACUUUAUGGAAAAGGACUUUAUCAUGCUUCGCUGGGCAGAGGAACAAGGGGGUGAGAUUUAUGGCCAGGAAAAAUAAAUCUUUUCCAAGUUGUGGCUCC